rnacentral:rRNA from 1 species
GACGAACGCUGGCGGCGUGCUUAACACAUGCAAGUCGAACGGAAAGGCCCUGCUUUUGUGGGGUGCUCGAGUGGCGAACGGGUGAGUAACACGUGAGUAACCUGCCCUUGACUUUGGGAUAACUUCAGGAAACUGGGGCUAAUACCGGAUAGGAGCUCCUGCUGCAUGGUGGGGGUUGGAAAGUUUCGGCGGUUGGGGAUGGACUCGCGGCUUAUCAGCUUGUUGGUGGGGUAGUGGCUUACCAAGGCUUUGACGGGUAGCCGGCCUGAGAGGGUGACCGGCCACAUUGGGAAUGAGAUACGGCCCAGACUCCUACGGGAGGCAGCAGUGGGGAAUAUUGCAAAAUGGGCGGAAGCCUGAUGCAGCAACGCCGCGUGCGGGAUGACGGACUUCGGGUUGUAAACCGCUUUCGCCUGUGACGAAGCGUGAGUGACGGUAAUGGGUAAAGAAGCACCGGCUAACUACGUG